UUGGUGGCUGACUAAAUAAAUAAUUUUUUUCCCCACUGUAUAUAUGUGUACCUUUAUCUAAACAAGGAGUCACCAUUUAGACCAGCGGGUAUACAAUUCAUAAGACAAAAUGAAAUCAAAAUCAGAUACAAUAUAAAACAAACUACAUCACAACACAAAUAUUCAAGAAAAACAGUUACAUUCCUCAGUACGAAGAUCCCCAAUCAAUAUUUUAAAUUUCCCGAGCGGCACCAUAACAUCCAAAGGACUUUUGCUUGGAUGUUAAGCAAAAAUUGUCAAUGUUAUUUUGUCCAAUUAAGUCUGUAUGAACAGUAAUGGUGCCAACAUAUUUUGACAUGUGGACUAGUUACCAUUUAAAGGCCCAGUGCAAGCAAAAACUGGAUUUUCCUGUGUUUUAUAUAUAUUUCCACACUAUGACUUUGGAAUAAUACUGUGACAUUUUGAAAAUUACGAUGAUGCCCUUUUGUGUAAUAGCUGUUUGAAAAUACUGUUUGGUGCUGACUUCAGGCUACCAAUUUAAGGUAAACUUUGGAUUAAAGAUCUGAGAUGCACAAAAUAAUACCCUGUUGUGACAUUGCUUUUUCGAAAGGGUUGUACAGAGGAGAAUCUCAAUUGCAUUUCCUUGAUUCCUCACGUCCCCUUUCCUCCCUUCUGACCUUCUCAUCCAAUGGGUUUUGAGAUGGAAGCAAGGAGAGAGGAUGCAGGGAAUCAAGGUAACACAAUGGAGAUUCUCCCCAUGACACUCAGAACUUCAAGAAGACAUUGGCAAACAGACACCAGUACAUGAUGACCUCUCCCUAUCAUCUCUGUGCACCGUCAUUUUUCAAACCGUAGACACAUACAUGUACUGUUAACUCUGUCCCAGUUUCAACACUACCACCUGUAAAGGAGUUCAUUGAUCUCUGGCCUAGUCUGCACAUGGAGUUGCAGGUAAAAUUUCAUAGAAGUUUUUUUACUCAAAUAUGACAUGCUUUAAUAUAUUAGUUAUACUAAAUUGAAUUGUUAAACUGUGUUGCCGAACUUGUGAUAAUACUGCUAAAUACUGUCCUUUGCGGUCUGUCAUUUCCAAAUAUAUCUGUAUGCAGAGUUCCGCCGAAUUAGGAAACAGAACUUGCCGAACAGCUUCUAUGCUGCACUCGACUGUCACACCCCUCGUUUGAUAAACAGACGGCAUCGAAGACUGGAAGGAUCACUGACGCUUUAGAUGACAUUCUGAGGUGUCAAGAUCUACGCUAUAGGAUCUACAUGAUGUUCUCCGUGCUCUUCCUUUGUUGCUGCGUGAGGAAGUCUUAGGAUUUUUCAAAACAUGCAAGGGGGAGGAUUCCGACGAGUCAGAUCUUGUUGACGCACCGGUAUCCCUACUUACAAUCGUCAGUGACGACACCGAAAAUCAAGUCCAUUACAGUCAAGAUCUCCGUUGUCCUGGGGAGUGAAGUUGUGGUGACCGACUUCGCCAGACUGGCUGACAUUUAACUGGUAAUGUUCGGUCUGAUCUGUGCUAUACAUCUCAGUUAUUCCAAAGAACUGUCCAACACUUUUGAGUUCAGUCAGAAAAUCCUGCUCGCCUUAGAAGAUGGGAAACUGAAGCCAAGAAUAAAGGGUCUGAAUAAUGAUUUGAUGAUACAUGUGUAGACAUUCACCAAAUGACAAACAUUUUCUGAAAACACCAUUUGUCCUUGUUUCAACUUUAUGAAUGUGGCUUAAGGCUAGAGUUUGCUUUAUUUCAUUUUUUCUUUCACAAGACAUUGGGUUGGAUUCCAUAAGAACUGUUAUGUUGAGCUGUAUCUAGAAUACAGUACAAAGAUAAAGUUGUCAAGAGUAUUUGGUUUGAAGUAGGAAUAGAAAAUGAAGUCUUUGUGAAGCCUUUGUCAUAAGUUAUUGCCUACAUCUAUACUUCUGAGGGCCUAUAGGAAGGAGAAUCUCAAUUCCGGUUCCUUGUCUCGCGUUCUCUCUCCUCGUCUUUUUCUCAAAACCCAUUGGAUGAGAAGGUCAGAGGGGAAGGAACUCUCACUAUCUCAUUCAAUGGGUUUUGAGAAGGAGGCGAGGAGAGAGGGCACAAUGAAUCAAGGAAAUGCAAUUGAGAUUCUUCCAAGAAGUUGAUUUGGUAUUCAGAUAAGGAGAGACCAUAUUUAUUUUAUUUGUAAUAACCUAUUCUUAUUCAAUGGGAGAAUCUCAAUUACAUU